CCCCUGUAGGUAUCCCCUAUAGAUGUCCCCUAUAGGGCCCUAUGGGAUGUCCCCUAUGGGGUGUCCCCAUGGAAGUCCCCUAUAGGGUUCCUAGUAGGGCCUCCCUAUGGGGAUCUGGGCCCAGCCCCCUUCCUAUAGAGUGUCCCCUAUAGGGUGUCCACUGUGGAUGUCCCCUAUAGGACCCCUUUUAGGGCUUCCCUGUGGGAAUCUGGGCACAACCCCCUUCCAAUAGGGUGUCCCCUAUAGAGUGUCCCCUAUGGAUGUCCCCUAUAGGGUCCCUUUUAGGGUUCCCCUAUAGGAAUCUGGGCCCAGCCCCCUUCCUAUAGGGGUCCCCUAUGGGGUGUCCCCUAUAGGGUUUCUUUAGGCGCUUCCCUGUGGGGAUCUUGGCCCAGCCCCCUUCCUAUAGGGUGUCUCCUAUAGGGCCUUAUUUCCUUUAGGGGCUUCCCUGUGGGACUCUCAGCACAACCCCCUUCCUAUGGGGUCCACUAUAGGGUGUCCCGUAUAGAUGUCCCCUAUAGGGUUUCUUUAGGGGCUUCCUGAUGGGACUCUGGGCCCAGCCCCCUUCCUAUAGGGUGUCCCCUAUGGAUGUCCCCUAUAGGGCCCCUUUUAGGGCUCCCCUGUGGGAAUUUGGGGCCAGCCCCGUUCCUAUAGGGCACCCCCUGUGGACAGUUCCCCUAUAGGGCCUUUUCCAUACGGUCUCUCCUACAGGGCUCCUCUCACCGGCACGACCCCGAAACCAAGCGGAUUUUCCCCAAAACUGAGUGGAUUUUCCCAAAACUGAGCGGAUUUUCCCCAAAUUGGGUGAUUUUUCCCCAAAUUUGAGCGGAUUUUUCCCCAAACUGAGCGGAUUUUCCCCAAACCGAGCGGAUUUUCCCCAAAAUUGGGUGGAUUUUCCUGAAAUCGGGUGGAUUUUCCCCAGAACCGAGUGGAUUUUCUCAAAACUGAGCGGAUUUUCCCAAAACCGAGUGGAUUUUCCCCAAACCGAGCGGAUUUUCCCCCAAAUCGGGCGGAUUUUCCCCAAAACCGAGCGGAUUUUCCCCAAAAUCAGGCAGAUUUUCCCCAAACUGAGCGGAUUUUCCCCCAGAACGCCGCCGCCGCCCUCGCCCCCAAAUGACGUCAUCGCCCGGACGGAACCCGGCCGUUUUCUCCCCAAAACCGCUUUGAAUCCGCUUUGGAACCUUCCUCCCAAAAUCCCGUGGUGGCUUUGACGGAAUCGAGCUGUUUUUCCCCCAAAAGCGCUUUCAAACCACGGUGGCCCUUUCCUUCCAAAAUCACACUGCGGCUUUGACAGAAUCGAGCUUUUUUUCCCCAAAAACCACUUUGAAUCCGAUUUGGAACCUUCCUUCCAAAAUGACGCAGUGGCUUUGACAGAAUCCAGCUGUUUUUCCCCCAAAAGUGCUUUCAAACCACGGUGGCCUUUUCCUUCCAAAAUCAUACCACGGCUUUGACCGAAUUGAGCCGUUUUGCCCUCAAAACAACUUCGAAGCCGUGUGGCCAUUUUGGCGCCUCCCAACCCCAAAAAUCUUU
rnacentral:lncRNA from 1 species